AGAACAUGUACUUAAUCAACAGCAAUCCAGUCUUCUGUAUCAACCAUCUUCACUUCCUAUGGGAAUGGUGUUUUUCUAUCUCAUCUUUCAGCAUCCAGCCCACAUGAAUACAUGGCCCUGUAUAUAACUGAGCAAGCCGAAGAAAGCAUUUGAUACAUGUUCCCAUCAAAGCUGUGUGCUUUAUGUGUGCUGCCUCAAGCCUGCAGUACCAGCACUGGACACCACACCUUUUGGAAGUACAAAUACAGUGCAGGCAGCUGUUGUAGAAGCUUCCCUGUGCAGCUCUGGAAAUGACUUUUUCUUCAACUAAGGACGUUCUCAAUCUCGAAGGGAAAAAAAUAGAAUAAAUGGGCAUCUUUACACUGAAAGGUACUUCUGCGUGUGAUUUCAGUCUACCAUCUUAGUGAACAGUUCAAUUCACUGUAACAGGAGUGGUUUUGUGAGGACAAGAGUUACGUACAGCUUGGAGAAAAGUAUAAAAAAUAAAUUCUCCAGACAUCCAGGAAUUAUUUCCUCACUGGGCAACUGGUCUAUCUAUUUUCCUAGCCAUAUUAUACUUCUCCUCUAGCUCUCCUUCAGAUGGUGUAUGCAUGUGAAUGAGCUAUAUGUGAAGACGAACAGGACCCAGGCGUGCUCACCUGCUGAACAAACCUCUGGUCUUCAGAAGGAACUAGUGCCAUCUGCUGAAGAAGGAAUGCCCUCUACUGCUCGGUUACAGAGCUGCGCCGUAGCAAAAGAAAGCUGCUCGAAAACCAGGUGUGACAUGGGCUGAAACGAAGCUUUGAGAAGCAGAUGAUUACUGGACAUAAUAAUUACAGUAUCAACAACAACAACGUUUGCUUAUACUGUCUGCCUCAGAACUCUUAGGAGAUAUUAAACCAUACGUAUAAAACUGAAUGCUCUUUUAAAGCUGCGUUUCUAUCUGCAUCAUUGUUUGUUUAUUGCGAUAUAUCUUCGUAACACGGCCCCAAACUUCUCAUUUCAAACAAAUGCAUAAAAUCAAGAUUAAUAUUUUCUUUGUAAUGCUUGGAUGCUUAGCACCUUGAUUUUUAAAAAGGCCAGUGUUACUGCUUUCAGAGAUUGUUCUGGCAUUCAUUUUGCUUUAUCUAUCCAACAGUUCUCAAAUUUAAUAUAUUUUCUCUUAC
rnacentral:lncRNA from 7 species